UCCCGGUUAACCCGGGCAGUCUCAUUAGAGUUCCCACCUUAAAUGUUGGCAACUAAUGAUAAGGGUUGCGCUCGUUGCUGGACUUAACCAAACACCUCACGGCACGAGCUGACGACAGCCAUGCAGCACCUGUGUAGCGGUCCCGAAGGAAAGCCCUAUUUCUAGAGCGGUCCACUACAUGUCAAGUCUGGGUAAGGUUCUUCGCGUUGCAUCGAAUUAAACCACAUGCUCCACUGCUUGUGCGGGUCCCCGUCAAUUCUUUUGAGUUUCAGCCUUGCGACUGUACUCCCCAGGCGGUAUACUUAACGCGUUCGCUACGGCACAACCAGGGUUGAGUCCGGUUACACCAAGUAUACAUCGUUUACGGCAAGGACUAC
rnacentral:misc_RNA from 1 species